rnacentral:rRNA from 1 species
UAACAAGGGAUUCCCCUAGUAACGGCGAGUGAAGAGGGAAGAGCCCAAGAUUGAAAGCUGGCGUCUUUGGCGUCCGCAUUGUAAUCUCAAGAAGUGUUUUCCGCUUCGGACCAUGCCUAAGUCCCUUGGAAAAGGGCAUCAUAGAGGGUGAUAAUCCCGUACAUGGCAUGGAGCGCCCGAGGCUUUGUGAUACCCUUUCUACGAGUCGAGUUGUUUGGGAAUGCAGCUCAAAAUGGGUGGUAAAUGCCAUCUAAGGCUAAAUAUUGGGGAGAGACCGAUAGCGAACAAGUACAGUGAUGGAAAGAUGAAAAGAACUUUGAAAAGAGAGUUAAACAGUACGUGAAAUUGCCAAAAGGGAAGGGUAGGAGGUCAGAGAUGCGUUCUGGGAUUCAGCCUUGCUUUUGCUUGGUGUUUUUCCCAGAUUGCAGGCCAACGUCGGUUUUGGGCGCUGGAGAAGGGUGGAAGGAAUGUGGCACCCCUCGGGGUGUGUUAUAGCCUUCUACUGGAUGCAGUGACCGAGACCGAGGACAGCAGCGUACUCGCAAGAGCGGGCCUUCGGGCACCUUUACGCUUAGGGCGUUGGCAUAAUGGCCCUCUACCACCCGUCUUGAAACACGGACCAAGGAGUCUAUCAUGUAUGCGAGUCUUUGGGUGGCAAACCCAUAGGCGCAAUGAAAGUGAAUUCAGGUGGGAUCCGCAAGGUGCACCAUCGACCGAUCCUCACGUCUUUUUAAGUCGUGGAUUUGAGUAAGAGCAUACCUGUUGGGACCCGAAAGAUGGUGAACUAUGCCUGAAUAGGGUGAAGCCAGAGGAAACUCUGGUGGAG